AUUGAACGCUGGCGGCAGGCCUAACACAUGCAAGUCGAACGAGUGGCGGACGGGUGAGUAAUGUCUGGGAAACUGCCUGAUGGAGGGGGAUAACUACUGGAAACGGUAGCUAAUACCGCAUACCAUCGGAGGUGCCCAGAGGGGAUUAGCUAGUAGGUGGGGUAAAGGCUCACCUAGGCGACGAUCGCUAGCUGGUCUGAGAGGAUGACCAGUCACACGGGAGCUGAGACGCGGUCCAGACGCCGAAGGUAGGCAGCAGUGGGGAAAAUUGCACAAUUGGCACAAGCCGAGUACGGCCAAGGCGGGUGUAUGACGAAGGCCUUCGAGUUGUAAAGUACUUUCAGCUGGGAGGCGUUACCCGCAGAAGAAGCACCGGCUAACUCCGUGCCAGCAGCCGCGGUAAUUC
rnacentral:rRNA from 1 species